UUUGCUUAAAAUAAAAGGUCCAGCCUGCCCAGUGACACUGUUCAACGGCCGCGGUAUCCUAACCGUGCGAAGGUAGCGUAAUCACUUGUUCUUUAAAUGAGGACUAGUAUGAAAGGCACCACGAGAGUCAUACUGUCUCCUCUUUCCAAUCAGUUAAACUAAUCUCCCCGUGAAGAAGCGAGGAUAACUAUAUAAGACGAGAAGACCCUAUGGAGCUUUAAACGAAUAACACUUGCCCACUUACUCCUUAAAAUUUCAGAAAAAUCUAUUACCUUGGCAUCAUACUUAUAAGUUUUUGAUUGGGGUGAUCACGGAACAAAAAAUAACCUCCGCAAUGAAAGACUCUCCAUAACUAAGUCAAGAACCACAACUCUACACAUCAACAAAUUGACACCAAUUGACCCAAUUUAUUGAUCAAUGAAC
rnacentral:rRNA from 1 species